rnacentral:pre_miRNA from 1 species
CCCGCAGUUGGCUGGAUUUGUCCAUUAGUGGCGAUAAAUGCAUCUUAACUGCGGAGA